rnacentral:sRNA from 2 species
GACCGCUAAAGGCCGAACUCGCCGAAGGCGAGACGGGGGAUCCACACCCUGGGGUGAAUCCCGACGGAAGUCGCGGAAGGGUAGCUCUUUCAACCCUAACCCGACAGCUAACCCCGUAGGCUGCUGAAAGAGGUCAU